rnacentral:rRNA from 1 species
AGGACGAACGCUGGCGGCGUGCUUAACACAUGCAAGUCGAGCGGAAAGGCCCUUCGGGGUACUCGAGCGGCGAACGGGUGAGUAACACGUGAGCAACCUGCCCUUAGCUCCGGGAUAGCUCCGGGAAACCGGAAUUAAUACCGGAUACAACCACGGCCGACAUCUGCUGUGGUGGAAAGGAUUCCGGCUAAGGAUGGGCUCGCGGCCUAUCAGCUAGUUGGUGGAGUAACGGCCCACCAAGGCGACGACGGGUAGCCGGCCUGAGAGGGCGACCGGCCACACUGGGACUGAGACACGGCCCAGACUCCUACGGAGGCAGCAGUGGGAAUAUUGCGCAAUGGGCGAAAGCCUGACGCAGCGACGCCGCGUGGGGGAUGAAGGCCUUCGGGUUGUAAACCCCUUUCAGCAGGGACGAAGCGAAAGUGACGGUACCUGCAGAAGAAGCGCCGGCUAACUACGUGCCAGCAGCCGC